GGAGAGGUCGCAUAGUCCGGUCUAGUGCGCACGAUUGGAAAUCGUGUAGGUGUAAAAGCCUCGAGGGUUCGAAUCCCUCCCUCUCCG
rnacentral:tRNA from 1 species